GUGCUCACUUAUGUAGCACAUACACUAAGAUUGGAAAAAUACAGAGAAGAUUCAUGUGGCUGCCACACAAGGAUGACGGCCAAAUUCGUGAAACAUUUCAUAUUUUU
rnacentral:snRNA from 1 species